CGAAACUCCGUCUCAAAAAAAAAAAAAAAAAUCACAGAAUGGUAAAAUUGAAAGCAGCUGGAAACCAUUUAAUCUGAAACCCUCAUUCUUUUGCCGUUGACAUUUGCAUUAUUACAAAAACCCCUGCUAUUUAUCAUUUUUGUUGAUAUUGAACUUUCUCCACUCUUAAUUUCUGUCUCUUCAAAGGCAUUUUCUCAAGGGCAGGAGAUAUAGCCUACACAUCUCCACAGCAGAUCAUCGUCACUUCCAUUUAUUGCGAUUUGUGGCCUUUAAGUCACUGUGCUAGGUCCUUCAUCCCUAGUACAACAACCUCUUAAGGGAAGUAUUGCUACACCCAUGUCAUAGAUGAGGGGCAUGGAGGGGAUGAGUAACUUGCCUGAGGUCACAGAGCUAGUAAGUGGCAGAGCUGAACUUCCAACCCAGGUCUGACUGACUCCAAAGUCUGUGCUCAAGAAAUGUUUGAUUGAUUGUUUAAUAGAGAAAAAUAAGAUUGCUAGCAGAACAACAGGAAUCUUGCUAGUCUUUCUGUGUCCUCCGCCGGCUAAAAUCCAUGUUCGGAGCUGAUAAAGAUCUGAUAUCCAGUUACCUGGCAAAAGGAUCACUUUUUCUAUAUUAUGAAACUCUCUGGAGAUGGCUUCCAGAUUGUAAGAUAUGAAUUUAUACUGAAGACACUUGCUUCUCAGUUCAAAAUAUGCUAUACAAAACCCAAAACAAACGAAACAGAAAGCGAAGGAAAUAGAAAUUGCUUUAGAACGAAUGUUACUCUGUCACCUAACUGUAUGCGUAGGCUGGGGCAAACUGCUUGCACGUGUUACAGUUUGGAUGCUACACGGAUACCCACACUGUCUUUGGGAAGCAAUCACUUGAUCUUCAUCAAAGACAGCGGCACACUCUGAGAAGAUGCCUGCUUAGGAUAAUGAGCCCAGACUGUAGCCAUGAUCCAGUUCCUUGGUGUGAGGCAGCUGCAUGAUGGAACUCUAACUGGAAGCCUUACCUCCUCUACUCGCAUCAGUCACAACGUCGCCGACUAAGGUCAUGAAAGCAAGCCCAACCUUUGCCCCUGGCACCGGUGGGCUAUGUGCAGGCAUCCCUACUCUCCCUACUCUGUGGGCACCACCUGCAGCUUCCGUGGGGAAACUGCAGCUACCGUGAAACAAAGUAAUUAACUGACUGAUUCAAACCUGUUUGGCGGUGUGGCUGAUCUCCACAGCCAGAUCCCCUCCAGAAUUCCCAAUGCCAAUUAUAAUGACUCUCUUUCCAGUGAAUCCCUCUGGGUUCUUAUAGUCUCGACUGUGGAAGUACUGCCCUUUGAACUUCUCAAUUCCUGCAAGAGAAGGGAAAAUAAGUAUCAGGUGAUGGUUUAUAUGAUGGAUAUCAUUUGUCAAGUCACCUGGUCUUCUUGCAGACUUAAGUUUAAGCAGAUAUUCUCCAAGUGUUCUCUCUUUAUGCAGCUACUUUCUUGUCUCUCUCAAUAUUUUUGCCUAUUUUCUUUUCCCCUAGCCUCAGAGUAGUACCGCGUGAUUUUCUUAUCAUAUGUACUUUGCGUAACUCAGGAUGUGUUUGUAUUUUGGAUUUAUAGACUAUAAAUACAAACUGCCUCAGAAAA